rnacentral:snRNA from 1 species
AUGCUCAGUUCAGCAGCACAUAUACUAAAAUUGGAAUGAUAUGGAGAAGAUUAGCAUAGCCCCUAUGCAAGGAUGACACACACAUUUGUAAAGCAUUCCAUGUUUUU